ACCUGCAUCCGAAAGUGAUCGCGGCCCCGCCCGUGGCCCGGUCACCGAUAGUGCAGGGAGAGGAGCCCGACCGCCUUCCCGUGCCGGGGGGGCCGCCCUCGCCCUCCGGGCCCUGUUGCGGUCGGACA
ensembl:snoRNA SNORA71 Small nucleolar RNA SNORA71